GCUUGCACUUCUAUUUGCGCGUAAAACGUUUUGCAUAUUUCAUUUCUGACAUACCUCUUUGUUUUUUGCGACAAACCUUGUGCAAUGUCAACAUCCCAUAUCAACAUGUGAAUAUCGUUGAAUAAACAAAUAACCAGCAUAUAUUAGGGUUUAAACUUUGUAAAACCAGAUCUCUCAUGUUUUAGUUUCAAAUAAACCAUUUAAUAUGUUUUUUGUGCAAUGGACCUUGCCUUUGUACUGUUUUCACACCAGUAUAACAGGUUUGUAAUAUGAC